rnacentral:rRNA from 1 species
GACAGAGGGUGCGAACGUUGUUCGGAAUUACUGGGCGUAAAGCGCAUGUAGGCGGCAGCGCAAGUCGGGCGUGAAAUCCCACGGCUCAACCGUGGAAGUGCACUCGAAACUGCGCAGCUAGAGUCCUGGAGAGGAAGGUGGAAUGCUUGGUGUAGAGGUGAAAUUCGUAGAUAUCAAGCGGAACACCGGUGGCGAAGGCGGCCUUCUGGACAGUGACUGACGGCUGAGAUGCGAAAGCGUGGGGAGCAAACAGG